CUACAGUUUUGGAUGAACUAAAUGGUGGACUUUACUACACUCAUAUACGCAGCUGUCUGUAGAAUCCCAAAAUUCAGUCAGAACUGCCAGCACUGUAUUUCUGAUGAGAAUUGGAAUCGAAAUAAUAUGAAGUUAAAAGAAACAGUGGCAAAUUGGUGGGGAUUUUUCUGCAGUUUUGCAGGUAAAUUUAGGUCUCUGAUUCUUUGCCUAAAACCUUUCUGUAAACCCUUGCAAGCAAACAGUUAUUUCCGUGCUCUGUUUCUCAGCUCCUGUCCUUUCAUGACCCGGUUAAGUUUCCCAUGUUUUCUCUCAUGAAGCAAAGGACUACUUCCAUUUUGCUGACUGUGGAGACAUGAAAAAUACUGGCUUGUAGAGCUGAAAUUUAGCCUUUUUCCAUUAUUUAAUCCUGUGACCUAGAAUCAUGCAGUCGCUUGUACAACAAGGCCUAAGGCUGGAUUCCCAGAUGGAAUCUGAGCAUCUGUUGUCAACAGCAUAGUUUGAUGUCAUUCCCUUUUCUUGCAGUGGGUUCUGGCUGAAAUAUGCCUACUGCAGACCCUUUGGACACAAGCAUUCUGUCUGCAUUUAGCCAAAUGUUAGAAGUAACAUUUGUGGAAAGGCUGCAAAAAUGAGUGAACGCUAGAGGAGCAAAGAUUCAAGUCUUCUGUAAUACAUAGCUGUCUGAGACUAGAAGAUUUGUGGCAGCAGUAGAAAUACAUUGCUAUACUGACUUAUCAAAGAUGGGGAAUUCAGUCAUGUUCUUUGCAGCAGCUCAGGGAGGAGACUGAGGCUGCACGGCAAGCAUGUAAAAUUUUUACAUACAAGGGAACUAAGUUUUUAUCGUAAGUACUGUUCAGUAACUUACCAAAAAGAAAGCAAGUUGAAAAUUUUUGGUGACUUUAUAAAAUUAGGAGGUAAAUGAUCCUGAUUGUCAAACCUGGUAUUGAAUACAAACUUUUUGUAUUCAUGCUGCUGCGUUUUUGGGAAAGCACUGAGGUGAUGGACUCCUCACUUUGACUCCUCUGUUAAAUUAUUUCUCAAAUGUUCUGAAUGUCAUAUAGAGAUAAAUGAAAUUUUUACUUUGACAUGUGUCCAUUAAUUCAUGUCUAAAUUCAGGCAUGCUGAGCUAUGUAUGAGACUGUGGAUUGAAUGAAAGCCCAGUUAGAAAAUGGAGAAGCUGAGACAGAUCUAGCCCGGUAAAGAUUACUUGAAGGACCUUCCUUGAAGUACAGAAAUUAGAGGCUGUGUAACGAUGCUUGAUUUUGGUUCAGCAUUUUCAUGACAAAAUUCCUGUUAGCACAGUGCUGAUCUAAAGGCCGUAAGGCAAGGGAAGGGUUGUGAAUUGCAUUUUGUCCACCAGAGGGUAUAACAUACAGUCAUGAAAAAGAGAGAGCAGAGACUUGUCUGGUAACAGUUGACAGGUUGAAUGUCGGUAUUUCCUAUGUAUGAGAGUGAAAGUCCUGCCUGGGGGAGGGGGAGAGGGGGAACAUGACACCGACAAACUGGGGCUUUAAUGGAGAAAUAUGAAGUAAUACUGCAGUUAACCCCUGACUAAGGCUGUUUAAUCUUGCUGGGCUUUCUAAUUGAGCCACUUUCCAGUGAGGAUUGCUGAGAUUAUGGUGUUAUAGAAUAGCUGUCCUCAAAUCUUUUUGUUGUCCAUUCAAACUAUUUUCUAGCUGCUGGAAAUACGGCAGUGUUUGUGACUUAUUCUCCCCCCUUUUUUUGCAAUUAACCACUUUGAGUUUGUUUAUUCAAUAGUGUUGCCAUAAUUUAUACUCUGAUUUUUUUUUAGUAUUUCCUGGUAAGAAUGAGUAGUUUCUUUCAAUUGGAUCUGUAUUCUGUAAAAAUAGAAGCAAUUUUAAUCUAAAAAAUACAUAUGUGUCUAAUGGUUACUAUGAUAAUUUGUGACCAUAGCAACAGAGAGUUGGCAUUCUAAAGGACAGGUUGAUUCUUUGGUUGUCUGGGGUUUUUUUCACAAUCUAAUUACCGGUGCAAGCAUUUCAAGGGAAAACCCUGACUUUUUUAUUUCGUAACCGUACAAGUUCAUAUAGGUACAAGCGAUUUUGACAUUAUCUCACAUAAGAUUUUUAUAGAAAAGCUGAUGGAGUAUGGGCUGAAUGAGCAGAGAGUGAGGUGCAUAAAACUGGCUGAAUGGCCAGACCUGUAGGGUGGUGCUCAGUCCCAGGAAUCCUAAUUGAAGGCCAGCAGCUAGCAGCAUACCCCAGGGCUCAGUACUGAGUCCAGUCCUGUUUAACAUCUUCACAGUGGUGUGGAUGAGGGGGCAGAGUGUACUCGGUAAGUCUGCUGAUAACACAGAACUGGGAGGAGUGGCUGAUACACCAAAAGGUUGUGCAGGAAGCAGCAAGAGGUAUGUAGAGUGUCUGACCUUGCAUCUCAAAAUAUAUGGAAAUCCUAACAGGAACAUAAUUCUUUCUGAUUGUGAGAAAGAGGAGGUCUUUUAUUUGCAACAUCCUAAAUGGAGAUUUACAAACUGAAGAAAGGUUCAGGACAUACCAGAAGGUUACUGUAGGAAAGAGAAAUAGAAUUUAGACUAGAGCUGGGGAUUCUUUAUUCUCAGACUUUGUAAAACAAAACAAACCAACCCACCAGCAACAAUAAUUGAUAUGUUUCUGUUCUAUUUUUUCCAUCAUAUGAUCAGUUAAAUAACAACAUAGUGCUUUCAGGCAGGUGCUAAAUUUCAGCUACAAGUUGUGGAUUACCAUGACAUAUUUGAGAUCCCAAGAGCAUGUAUUCCAUUAUAGGAAUGCAUACUUAGUGAUGAUUUAAAGAGUUGUAAGAAAUUAAUAUGUUAUUGAGGGAGGCAGGAAUGAGCUCUCAUGACUAAAUCUCUUAAUUAGUGAAUGGCUGUCUCUGCCAGCAUAGAGCUCUAAUGUAAAGGCUAUCCACUAGCAACACUCAAUGUCAGCUUUAUAAGGAAAUGUGCUGGAUGUAAGUAUAGCCAAAGCCAAAUCACAGAAUUUUCCAAGCUUUCUCUUUUCCUAGGCCCUAAUGGGGAAUUUAACAACUGAAUGGAAAUUACAGCAUUGCUGCUAUCACUUGCUAAUUUGGGGCAAUGAAUAUCUUGAAUUAAAUAGAAUCUAAAAUGCAUUUAAAAGCCAAUUUUUGUAAAAGCCAGCUGUUGUGACAAUUCUGUAUUUGCUACAGGAAUACAGUAACUGAUCAGUGGAGCCACUGUGGUGCUCAAAGUCUAUUACCUCAGAAAAGGAAAAACAGAGGAUGCCAGCCCAAACUUAACUGGUUCAGCUAGUCCAGUCUCCUGUCUUUGAUACUGCUCAGUCUGUUUGAUGACCAGUGGGCAGUCUGGAAUUACGCGCACUGGAAAAGCCUCUUCCUGACUCUGUCACCUUUUUACCUGUGCUGUGAAGCAUGGUGAUGUUAAAUGACUGGAUUACUAUUUUUGAGGGAAAAAGGAGUUGUUCAAAUUCUUUCACUAGUUUUUUGUAGAGUCGUUAAAAGUUUGGUCACUUGCUACAGUAUGACAACUUAAAUGUAGAAACCCUAAGUCAUCCUAAUCUUGUAUUGAGCUUUGUUACCCAGACUCUUUCUAGGUAUCUUUUUACAUUAUCUUUUAUGAAGACCAUUAAAGAAAAUCUUGUACUAUUUCUUUGAUAUCUUGCUCUUUUGCUCUCAUUUAGUUUCUCCUAUUUCAAAGGACCUGUUGUUUUUCUUCCAUUUCUUCCCAGAGAAAAGGUGUUACCGAUGCGGAUGUGCUUUCGUUCCACAGGGUGGCAGCUAAUCCUUAUUUCCCUUCUCGGUUAUUUUGACAUUUCUGCUAGAAGCAUCUUUCCUGGCCAAGUUACGCUCUGAGGCAUAAGGGUCAUGAACCUGUAAAUACAGCCCUUCUGUUCGAGUUAAAGAGUGUUUGGGAAAGCUUAUUAUAUUGUGUCUGUUCAAGCUGCAUCAACUUGCUGAAGAUUGUAGCAGCUGACAAGACAAAGCAUCAUGCAAGGUCUAAAUUUUGAAUAUUACAUAUUGCUGCCGUUUUAUGUGGGUAUCUCUUGUAAGCGGUGCUCUAGGCAUAACUGAACACAAGCAGAGGUGGCACCUUCUAGACAAACGUUACUUUGCUAGAGGCUUAGUUAUUGAUGUGGGUGGGGGAGAGAGGUUCUGGAAGUUACUAACUUUUUACUCCCGGUUUAUUUUGACAGAUAAAUGUCUCAGAUAAUUUGAAUUGAAAUCUCCAUGUGUCAUUAGAACGAGCCUAUAACUUUAUGAGCUGCACUAUGGGCUUUUGUUCUUUGCUAUUGAGUUUACAUAAUUUCCUCCCACCCCCUGCCCUAGUUUCUUACUAUUGAUGCCUGUGAAUAUUUUUCAUUAAAAGGCUGCUGUUUUGUUAUCUUCUAAAAUUGUUAUAAUUUAGCUCCAUGUCUGUCUUAUGUGUUUAGUCUUCCGCCUUUCUACCCCUCCAUUGUUGAAUAAAGAUAUGAAAAUUAA
rnacentral:lncRNA from 1 species